GAUGAAUGCUGGCGGCGUGCCUAACACAUGCAAGUCGAGCGAAUGGAUUAAGAGCUUGCUCUUAUGAAGUUAGCGGCGGACGGGUGAGUAACACGUGGGUAACCUGCCCAUAAGACUGGGAUAACUCCGGGAAACCGGGGCUAAUACCGGAUAACAUUUUGAACCGCAUGGUUCGAAAUUGAAAGGCGGCUUCGGCUGUCACUUAUGGAUGGACCCGCGUCGCAUUAGCUAGUUGGUGAGGUAACGGCUCACCAAGGCAACGAUGCGUAGCCGACCUGAGAGGGUGAUCGGCCACACUGGGACUGAGAUACGGCCCAGACUCCUACGGGAGGCAGCAGUAGGGAAUCUUCCGCAAUGGACGAAAGUCUGACGGAGCAACGCCGCGUGAGUGAUGAAGGCUUUCGGGUCGUAAAACUCUGUUGUUAGGGAAGAACAAGUGCUAGUUGAAUAAGCUGGCACCUUGACGGUACCUAACCAGAAAGCCACGGCUAACUACGUGCCAGCAGCCGCAGUAA
rnacentral:rRNA from 1 species